rnacentral:rRNA from 1 species
CAAUAGCGUAUAUUAAAGUUGUUGUGGUUAAAAAGCUCGUAGUUGGAUUUCUGCCGAGGACGACCGGUCCGCCCUCCGGGUGAGUAUCUGGCUCGGCCUGGGCAUCUUCUUGGAGAACGUAGCUGCACUUGGCUGUGUGGUGCGGUAUUCAGGACUUUUACUUUGAGGAAAUUAGAGUGUUUCAAGCAGGCACACGCCUUGAAUACAUUAGCAUGGAAUAAUAAGAUAGGACCUCGGUUCUAUUUUGUUGGUUUCUAGAUCUGAGGUAAUGAUUAAUAGGGAUAGUUGGGGGCAUUCGUAUUUAACUGUCAGAGGCGAAAUUCUUGGAUUUGUUAAAGACGGACUACUGCGAAAGCAUUUGCCAAGGAUGUUUUCAUUGA